rnacentral:rRNA from 1 species
UACGAAGGGUGCGAGCGUUGUCCGGAAUCAUUGGGCGUAAAGCGCGCGUAGGCGGCUUCGCAAGUCGGCCGUGAAAUCUCCGGGCUCAACUCGGAGGGGUCGGGCGAGACUGCGAGGCUCGAGGUGGGCAGAGGGCAGUGGAAUUCCGGGUGUAGUGGUGGAAUGCGUAGAGAUCCGGAGGAACACCAGUGGCGAAGGCGGCUGCCUGGGCCUGGCCUGACGCUGAGGCGCGAAAGCGUGGGGAGCAAUCCGG